GUCUGAGGGCUGCCUAGAAAAAGCCUUGCCCCGUUAGCUACGACCAACCUCUAGGCGUUCCUGCAUGUUUACCUAUCAAAACUAUGCACCCAAUUGGCACUCAAACAAUGUGAAUUUUGAUUUUCAUAGCCAGGUAUUCCCUUACAACAUUGUGCUCCUUCAAUAUGAUAAAUAUAAUCCUUGCUGUAGUCACUGGUUAGAGAUCUUUCAAGACCAGCGAUGUAAUGACGAGCAGGACACGAUGAACGACCGGAAUAAUCAAAACUGCUCCACCAGUUUGCAUAGCUGCACAGUGAACCCGAGGCUGAAAAAUUAUAAAAUUUUAACAAUAUUGCUAAACAAGCCCACCCAGCUGGCGACAGACAGCAAAGUAUAAAACCUGCAACUUGGUUUUAAAUCGAAGAAAGGACCGCGGGACCUACUGAUCUACUCCUGAAUAUUCCAAAAUGUGAGUGGUGUUGUGGUAAUCUUCAACAUAUAUGACAAAACAUUAGAUUUUUAAAGUUUUCUCUUCCUUCCACGAGCACCAUGACGCA
rnacentral:lncRNA from 1 species